rnacentral:rRNA from 1 species
AUGAACGCUGGCGGCGUGCCUAAUACCUGCAAGUCGAGCGCACAGACGAGGAGCUUGCUCCUCUGACGUUAGCGGCGGACGGGUGAGUAACACGUGGAUAACCUACCUAUAAGACUGGGAUAACUUCGGGAAACCGGAGCUAAUACCGGAUAAUAUAUUGAACCGCAUGGUUCAAUAGUGAAAGACGGUUUUGCUGUCACUUAUAGAUGGUUCCGCGCCGCAUUAGCUAGUUGGUAAGGUAACGGCUUACCAAGGCAACGAUGCGUAGCCGACCUGAGAGGGUGAUCGGCCACACUGGAACUGAGACACGGUCCAGACUCCUACGGGAGGCAGCAGUAGGGAAUCUUCCGCAAUGGGCGAAAGCCUGACGGAGCAACGCCGCGUGAGUGAUGAAGGUCUUCGGAUCGUAAAACUCUGUUAUUAGGGAAGAACAAAUGUGUGAGUAACUAUGCACGUCUUGACGGUACCCAAUCAGAAAGCCACGGCUAACUACGUG